UUGAGGGGAUAAACUUUGGGCUCGGAUAAAGCCUGUUUAGGAUACUCGUUUAAGUGAGGAAAUGUGUUAAUAUAUAAAUUCAUUUCCUUUAUUUCUUUUCUCCCCCAAACCCCAUCGCCGAUUCACCCGACUCUUCACCCAACCCGAACACCUUCUUCCCGGAUCUCCCCAACUCCUCUCGACCUCUCUUUCUCGCGGACGAAGCACAGCCGGGGGUUCCGGUGAUCGUCGACCUCGACGGAAACUAGUGGGGUCACCGGAGCUUGACGGUGCCGAGGAGCUGGAUCUGAUCAGGGGGUUCUGUCCGGCGGAUUUGGAAGCCGAUCUCCUCCUACGCGACCCUCUCCUUCCUCGAUCUCUCUAGCCUUCGUCGCCGAUCCUGAGGAACUCAUCGCUGGAUCUCGACGGUGCCAAGGAAGACCGGGCUGCCUUCGGCCGAAGGGUCUCUGCUCCGGUGGUGCUUGCGGCCGAUCGCCGAAGGUGCGGCGGCUAGGGCACGGUGAAGGACCAGAUCUUGCGUCGACUCCCAACCAAUCGCCUACCGAAGCUUGGAGAGGUGCCCUAGUCCGGAUCUGUAUCACUCGAUCGCCGGCGUGGGUUUUGGUUGGAGAUGAUGGGAUCAAUUGAGUUGCCGAGCAAAGGCUUGAAGGUUUAUUGUGUGAUCCGUGAUCUCCAUUGAUUGAACCCUUCUUGAUCCGAUCAGGAGGUGAGGUCUGUGCUUGCUGUGGAGUUUCUUUGGUUCCGGCAGCUACUCCAUCGAGCAGAACACUUUGUUCCAGCAUCAAUAGGGGGCUGUGAGGUUAAGGACUCUGAUUAGAGACAGGCGUCUCGACCUUGGAUUGCUUGAUUGUACCUUCUAUUGGAG